CUCACCCGCCCGAUCCGGCCGCCACCGCCCCCCUACGACCACUACCAGAGCUACUCUGCGCGACAUUUGGUCGCCCGCAAUCGCGGAUCCCUGCCGUCGCGCCGGCGGAUGACUCAGCACUCCCUACAUCGACGAAGAAGGUGAAAAUCGCAUUAGUGCAGCUCACUCCGUCCGUUGUUUUUUUGGGCUCAAAUGCAGGUCACUACGUCCACAUCGUUGGUGCUUCGAGGGGCGGCCUGCACUUAGCCCCUACCCUCCGUGUCCUAGCGGACACCACAUGCGGGCGACUGCACCCAUCGUCAGCACGAGAAGGGGUCCUCCGACGAGUGCGCGUGCAGUACCCUUUAGGGGUGAGGCACUUGCUUUUUGGCUGUCGACACCUCCAUCACCCAGUUUUGGCUGUCGAUGGAGACCAUCGGUGAAGUUUGCCACCUCCCCGCCUUCUACUGCCGCUCUGAGUGGGCAUGCAGAUUCUGCAGGGCUCCAGCCCGGCGUGCACAGCUCGUGCGCACACAUGAUCCGGUUCAGUGCUAGGGCACUCGCAGUCUUUUUUGCGUGCAGCUGCAGUCCGUUUGGACUCCGUGUGCAGUGAAGUUCGGGCGAGCCAUGAUGACAGAAAAGGAAGGAAAUUAAGUGGGUCGAAAAGGGAACAGAAUUAAAACCCCACUUCCCGAGGAGACAACAAUCCGCAAGCAUCAUGCGCAUGCAGUUCCUUUUGUAUAUGCUUACAAUGCGGUGUGUGUAUGUGUGAUGUACACCCCCAUCGCUUAUUUUGUGUGGCAGCUCAUUAGACCUCUGUAUGAAGUGCGUCGCCUGUCUCGAGUACAUUAACAUUUGCAGUGCGUUUGGUCGCCGGAUGUGGUUCA